rnacentral:rRNA from 1 species
CCUACGGGUGAGCAGCAGUGGGGAAUAUUGGACAAUGGGCGAAAGCCUGAUCCAGCCAUGCCGCGUGUGUGAAGAAGGCCUUCGGGUUGUAAAGCACUUUCAGUGGGGAAGAAAGCCUUGGGGCUAAUACCCUCGAGGAAGGACAUCACCCACAGAAGAAGCACCGGCUAACUCCGUGCCAGCAGCCGCGGUAAUACGGAGGGUGCGAGCGUUAAUCGGAAUUACUGGGCGUAAAGCGCGCGUAGGCGGUCUGAUAAGCCGGUUGUGAAAGCCCCGGGCUCAACCUGGGAACGGCAUCCGGAACUGUCAGGCUAGAGUGCAGGAGAGGAAGGUAGAAUUCCCGGUGUAGCGGUGAAAUGCGUAGAGAUCGGGAGGAAUACCAGUGGCGAAGGCGGCCUUCUGGACUGACACUGACGCUGAGGUGCGAAAGCGUGGGUAGCAAACAGGAUUAGAUACCCCAGUAGUC